rnacentral:lncRNA from 1 species
GUGGUCAGUGGCCCAGCAGCACUGACAUGAGGACCUUAGUUGGAAACUCAGAAUCUCAGGCUCCACCCCAGACCUGCUGAACCAGCAUCUUCAACUUAACAAGAACCCGAAGAGAUUUGUGCCACAUCAAAAAGUUUGAGAAGCUCUGAUCUAGCUGGACCCUGGACACGGUGACUCUGAUUCAAUUAUGCAGAUGACCACAAGCCUCUGGGGUUGGCAGAGCCACAAGAAAGAAGGUGCCUGGAUGAAGGAGAGCUACCCACUGACCUGGACACCCAAUUAUAGGAUAGACAGUGAAGUGCAACUACAGCCCGCAAAUGAAAAUGAAUAAAAUUAAUCCAGCCCCUCAAGGCAGUCAUCUGUCUUAGAGCUAUUGGAAUCCUGGAUCAUUGUGGGAAAUGAAAAGUAAGAACUGGUUUUUAGCAAGGAGACCAAGAAACUCUACUCCCUAGGGGCUAGCAAUGAGAGAAAGGAAGCCUUGAGUCUUUGAGCACAGGGUGACAGUUUGGGUCCUAUGUGAGAUGAUCAAAUCCACAGCAACAGAGGAAAGGACAAAAGGAAAAGAUACUUCGAUGGAAUCAGCAGCCAUUGAUCCAAUGCCAACUCCAAGACUGGAACGUCGCAAUGAUAGUUCCAAGGCGGAAAUUUGACGUAAUUCUUUUCGACACAGUUUUACAGGUCUGGAUGCCCAUUUUAAUUCUUCUGAAAGCAUGCCUCCUUCUGGCUUCAGGACUCCAUCUCCAGCCUUAUGAUCUAAAAAUAAUCCCCAAACCAAAAAAUUAGAUAUUAUUUCCUCAAAAUUAGGUGUUUUAAUCAAAACAUCUUAACAUAAAUACAUUAUUAUCACCCAA